rnacentral:rRNA from 1 species
GACUUGGAGGAGGACUAACAGGAUUCCCCUAGUAACUGCGAGUGAAGCGGGAAAAGCUCAAAUUUAAAAUCUGGCAGUCUUUGAUUGUCCGAGUUGUAAUCUAGAGAAGUGUUAUCCGCGCUGGACCGUGUACAAGUCUCCUGGAAUGGAGCGUCAUAGAGGGUGAGAAUCCCGUCUUUGACACGGACUACCAGUGCUUUGUGAUGCGCUCUCAAAGAGUCGAGUUGUUUGGGAAUGCAGCUCAAAAUGGGUGGUAAAUUCCAUCUAAAGCUAAAUAUUGGCGAGAGACCGAUAGCGAACAAGUACCGUGAGGGAAAGAUGAAAAGAACUUUGGAAAGAGAGUUAAACAGUACGUGAAAUUGCUGAAAGGGAAACGCUUAAAGUCAGUCGCAUUGUCUGAGAAUCAACCUUGCUUUUGCUGGGUGUACUUUUCAGAUAAUGGGUCAACAUCAAUUUUGACCGUUGGAUAAAGUCUAAGGGAAUGUGGCAUCUUCGGAUGUGUUAUAGCUUUUAGUCGCAUACAACGGUUGGGAUUGAGGAACUCAGCACGCCGCAAGGCCGGGUACUUGUACCACGUUCGUGCUUAGGAUGUUGGCAUAAUGGCUUUAAUCGACCCGUCUUGAAACACGGACCAAGGAGUCUAACAUGCCUGCGAGUAUUUGGGUGGAAAACCCGAGUGCGUAAUGAAAGUGAAAGUUGAGAUCCCUGUCAUGGGGAGCAUCGACGCCCGGACCAGACCUUUUGUGACGGAUCUGCGGUAGAGCAUGUAUGUUGGGACCCGAAAGAUGGUGAACUAUGCCUGAAUAGGGUGAAGCCAGAGGAAACUCUGGUGGAGGCUCGUAGCGAUUCUGACGUGCAAAUCGAUCGUCAAAUUUGGGUAUAGGGGCGAAAGACUAAUCGAACCAUCUAGUAGCUGGUUCCUGCCGAUUUCCCCCUCAAGAAA